UCCCACUAGGACUGUGGACUAUAAGCUCCCAGGAGGCUGGAGCAGAGUUGAGUUUUGGUGUCAGCUGGAAUCCCAGAAUCUAAGACAUGGAAGGGUCCUCAGAGGUCAGCUAGUUGAACCUGCAUCUGAAAAGGAUUGCAUUCAUGCCUGAUUUGGAAAUUCAGAUGGAUAAAUUAAAGUAUUCUACAGCCGCA